rnacentral:rRNA from 1 species
GAUGAACGCUAGCGGCAGGCCUAACACAUGCAAGUCGAGGGAGAAGCCCUUUCGGGGGCAGAAACCGGCGCACGGGUGCGUAACGCGUAUGCAACCUACCUUUCACAGGGGGAUAGCCCGAAGAAAUUUGGAUUAAUACCCCAUAAUCUUAUUGGAUGGCAUCAUUUGAUAAUUAAAACUGCGGUGGUGAAAGCUGGGCAUGCGUCCUAUUAGCUAGUUGGAGUGGUAACGGCACCCCAAGGCUACGAUAGGUAGGGGUCCUGAGAGGGAGAUCCCCCACACUGGUACUGAGACAGGGACCAGACUCCUACGGGAGGCAGCAGUGAGGAAUAUUGGUCAAUGGUCGGAAGACUGAACCAGCCAUGCCGCGUGCAGGAAGAAUGCCUUAUGGGUUGUAAACUGCUUUUAUAUGGGAAGAAUAAGGUGUACGUGUACAUUGAUGACGGUACCAUAUGAAUAAGCAUCGGCUAACUCCGUG